rnacentral:rRNA from 1 species
ACGGGUGAGUAACACGUGAGUAACCUGCCCUUGACUCUGGGAUAAGCCUGGGAAACUGGGUCUAAUACCGGAUAUGACCAUCUGACGCAUGUCAUGGUGGUGGAAAGCUUUUGUGGUUUUGGAUGGACUCGCGGCCUAUCAGCUUGUUGGUGGGGUAAUGGCCUACCAAGGCGACGACGGGUAGCCGGCCUGAGAGGGUGACCGGCCACACUGGGACUGAGACACGGCCCAGACUCCUACGGGAGGCAGCAGUGGGGAAUAUUGCACAAUGGGCGGAAGCCUGAUGCAGCGACGCCGCGUGAGGGAUGACGGCCUUCGGGUUGUAAACCUCUUUCAGUAGGGAAGAAGCGAAAGUGACGGUACCUGCAGAAGAAGCGCCGGCUAACUACGUGCCAGCAGCCGCGGUAAUACGUAGGGCGCAAGCGUUAUCCGGAAUUAUUGGGCGUAAAGAGCUCGUAGGCGGUUUGUCGCGUCUGCUGUGAAAGACCGGGGCUCAACUCCGGUUCUGCAGUGGGUACGGGCAGACUAGAGUGCAGUAGGGGAGACUGGAAUUCCUGGUGUAGCGGUGAAAUGCGCAGAUAUCAGGAGGAACACCGAUGGCGAAGGCAGGUCUCUGGGCUGUAACUGACGCUGAGGAGCGAAAGCAUGGGGAGCGAACAGGAUUAGAUACCCUGGUAGUCCAUGCCGUAAACGUUGGGCACUAGGUGUGGGGGACAUUCCACGUUUUCCGCGCCGUAGCUAACGCAUUAAGUGCCCCGCCUGGGGAGUACGGCCGCAAGGCUAAAACUCAAAGGAAUUGACGGGGGCCCGCACAAGCGGCGGAGCAUGCGGAUUAAUUCGAUGCAACGCGAAGAACCUUACCAAGGCUUGACAUGAACCGGAAAGACCUGGAAACAGGUGCCCCGCUUGCGGUCGGUUUACAGGUGGUGCAUGGUUGUCGUCAGCUCGUGUCGUGAGAUGUUGGGUUAAGUCCCGCAACGAGCGCAACCCUCGUUCUAUGUUGCCAGCGCGUUAUGGCGGGGACUCAUAGGAGACUGCCGGGGUCAACUCGGAGGAAGGUGGGGACGACGUCAAAUCAUCAUGCCCCUUAUGUCUUGGGCUUCACGCAUGCUACAAUGGCCGGUACAAAGGGUUGCGAUACUGUGAGGUGGAGCUAAUCCCAAAAAGCCGGUCUCAGUUCGGAUUGGGGUCUGCAACUCGACCCCAUGAAGUCGGAGUCGCUAGUAAUCGCAGAUCAGCAACGCUGCGGUGAAUACGUUCCCGGGCCUUGUACACACCGCCCGUCAAGUCACGAAAGU